UACGGGGGGAGCAAGCGUUGUUCGGAUUUACUGGGCGUAAAGGGCGCGUAGGCGGCGUAACAAGUCACUUGUGAAAUCUCCGGGCUUAACCCGGAACGGUCAGGUGAUACUGUUUUGCUAGAGUGCGGAAGGGGCAAUCGGAAUUCUCGGUGUAGCGGUGAAAUGCGUAGAUAUCGAGAGGAACACCAGAGGUGAAGACGGGUUGCUGGGCCGACACUGACGCUGACAGCGCGAAAGCCAGGGGAGCAAACGGG
rnacentral:rRNA from 1 species